rnacentral:rRNA from 1 species
AGUGAACGCUGGCGGUAGGCCUAACACAUGCAAGUCGAACGGCAGCACAGUAAGAGCUUGCUCUUACGGGUGGCGAGUGGCGGACGGGUGAGGAAUACAUCGGAAUCUACUUUUUCGUGGGUGAUAACGUAGGGAAACUUACGCUAAUACCGCAUACGACCUACGGGUGAAAGCAGGGGAUCCUCGGACCUUGCGCGAUUGAAUGAGCCGAUGUCGGAUUAGCUAGUUGGCGGGGUAAAGGCCCACCAAGGCGACGAUCCGUAGCUGGUCUGAGAGGAUGAUCAGCCACACUGGAACUGAGACACGGUCCAGACUCCUACGGGAGGCAGCAGUGGGGAAUAUUGGACAAUGGGCGCAAGCCUGAUCCAGCCAUACCGCGUGGGUGAAGAAGGCCUUCGGGUUGUAAAGCCCUUUUGUUGGGAAAGAAAAGCAGCAGGUUAAUACCCCGCUGUUCUGACGGUACCCAAAGAAUAAGCACCGGCUAACUUCGUG